ensembl:lincRNA
UCUUACCCUUGUCUUCUUCCUCUUCCAAUUUCUUGCUGCGACCAUGCAGAAAAAAUCCUCUUCACACCUCCACCUCCAGGACGCACAGCCAGCAUUUUCUGAGCUUUCCAGAAAGGAAGCAGACUCGCUGGUGUGACAGCUGGCAUCAGAGCUGGGACUUGGGCUGCCUUGCAGAAGACCGUGGCUUCCAAAGGGCAGAGCCGGAGCUGAAGUCCAGAGUUGACAAACUACACCCGCAGGAAAAUCCUACCUACCGCUUGUUGUGUGCUUCACAAGUGAGAUUUCACAUUUUUUAAUGACUGGGAAAAAAAUAAAGUUAAAAGAAUCAUGCAUUUUAGGACAUGUGAAAAUUAUGUAAAAUUCAAAUUUCAGUGUUGAUAAACCUUUCCGGGAGUGUGGCCGCAUACUGUCAUUUACGUAUUGUCUGUGACUGCUCCCAGGCUGCCACGGUGGACUUGAGUAGUUGUAACAGGUAUCUCAGAGCUCACAGCGCCUGAUAUAUUUGCCAUCUGACACUUUAUAGGGAAAAAAGUAUUCCCACUGUUG